rnacentral:rRNA from 1 species
AGCGAACGCUGGCGGCAGGCUUAACACAUGCAAGUCGAACGGUCCUUCGGGAUAGUGGCGGACGGGUGAGUAACACGUGGGAACGUACCCUUAGGUUCGGAACAACACAGGGAAACUUGUGCUAAUACCGGAUAAGCCCUUCGGGGGAAAGAUUUAUCGCCUUUGGAGCGGCCCGCGUCUGAUUAGCUUGUUGGUGAGGUAAUGGCACACCAAGGCUACGAUCAGUAGCUGGACUGAGAGGAUGGCCAGCCACACUGGGACUGAGACACGGCCCAGACUCCUACGGGAGGCAGCAGUGGGGAAUCUUGCGCAAUGGGCGAAAGCCUGACGCAGCCAUGCCGCGUGGAUGAUGAAGGUCUUAGGAUUGUAAAAUCCUUUCACCGGGGACGAUAAUGACGGUACCCGGAGAAGAAGCCCCGGCUAACUACGUGCCAGCAGCCGCCGUAA